rnacentral:rRNA from 1 species
GAUGAACGCUGGCGGCAUGCCUAAUACAUGCAAGUCGAACGGGAGUGCUUGCACUCCAGUGGCGAACGGGUGAGUAAUACAUAGGUAACCUGUCCUUAAGACGAGGAUAGCUUCUAGAAAUGGAAGAUAAAACUGGAUAGGACAUCACAAAUCACAUGAUUAGAUGUUUAAAAGAGCAAUCUACUUAAGGAGGGGCCUGUGGCGCAUUAGCCAGAUGGCGGGGUAAUGGCCCACCAUAGCGAUGAUGCGUAGCCGGUCUGAGAGGACGAACGGCCACAUUGGGACUGAGACACGGCCCAGACUCCUACGGGAGGCAGCAGUAGGGAAUUUUCGGCAAUGGGCGGAAGCCUGACCGAGCAAUGCCGCGUGAAUGAAGAAGUAUUUCGGUAUGUAAAGUUCUUUUAUUUGGGACGAAAAAACAAAUUGACGGUACCAAAUGAAUAAGCCCCGGCUAACUAUGUGCCAGCCGCCGCGG